AGCUCCACCGUCUCGCCGAGUGCCAGCAAGAGUCAUGAGUACUGUCAACUCGACUCCUCAACUGGAGAUAACUUUCUAGCACCUCACCAUGGGGAAGGAUGUAUUCAUAUGCCUUCACCAGCACCUGCAUUAAACAUGCAGAGAGUUACACAAGUUCUUACCACCUUGGGGCACCAUUCAGGGUGCCUUUUCAUCUGAUUAAAUUUAUAAUGAACAGGGACAUUGCGGUUGUCCAAAGUGGAUGGUAUGAUGAUAGGAUGGUUUUCUGGCCCAGCUAUAAAAACACCGACAGAAUUGAAAGGGCCGCUUUAAAUGAGGAGC